rnacentral:rRNA from 1 species
UACGUAGGGUGCAAGCGUUAUCCGGAAUUAUUGGGCGUAAAGAGCUCGUAGGCGGUUUGUCAAGUCUGCUGUGAAAACUGGGGGCUCAACCCUCAGCCUGCAGUGGGUACGGGCAGACUAGAGUGCGGUAGGGGAGAUUGGAAUUCCUGGUGUAGCGGUGGAAUGCGCAGAUAUCAGGAGGAACACCGAUGGCGAAGGCAGAUCUCUGGGCCGUAACUGACGCUGAGGAGCGAAAGCAUGGGGAGCGAACAGG